rnacentral:rRNA from 1 species
GUGUCAGCAGCCGCGGUAAUACAGAGGAGGCUAGCGUUGUUCGGAAUCAUUGGGCUUAAAGGGCGUGUAGGCGGCGGCGCAAGCGUCGUGUGAAAUCCCAUCGCUCAACGAUGGAACUGCACGGCGAACUGCGUCGCUUGAGGUCGGUAGAGGUGCCUGGAACUCUAGGUGGAGCGGUGAAAUGCGUAGAUAUCUAGAGGAACGCCUGAGGCGAAAGCGGGGCACUGGGCCGAUUCUGACGCUGAGACGCGAAAGCGUGGGGAGCAAACAGGAUUAGAAACCCCUGUAGUCC